GGGUAUGGUAUACUCAGUACUUAAGAUGUCACCUCCAGUUAAAAACUGUGCAACAGACCUCAGCAGCAUAGAGCACUGAGCUCAGAUUUCUGGUGCCUUCCCACAGAGUUUUGAUUGAAGACUUAUUUCUUAUCUUUAGUGGGCUCCGUGGCAUGAAUUCAGGAUAUCUGAAAGACUGAUGAAACCUGCAGGAUGAAGAACACUGUCAGCAUUUGUAUAAAGAUUUUGGCUGCGGCUCUGCAUAGCUCAUUCUGCCUAACCAACUAACUUUAUAGACACUUGACUAGCUCUCCCAAAUUAGGAGUCUGAUACUUCUUCAGUGGAUGGAGAGAGAAAGAGAGGGGCACAGCCAAAGGAUGCCUUAGUACCUCAACCUGUGUCUACUGCUGGUUAAAAGUUCCAGAGAAGCUGGAUGUUCCAAACUCUACGUUGCUUUUCCUGCAUAAACUUAUGGUGCAAAAGGGGUAUGGAAGAACAGUGAAAUCCAUUGGCCAGAUAAGAUGUCACUGUGCUGUGCACUUCUUAUGUCAUGGGUUCUUUGCUGGAACUCAGAGAAAAUGAGCCAUCAGUCAAAGAUCCAUGCAUGUGAAGAGGUUUUUUACUAGAAAUGGCGAUGUACAAGCCUGGGGAAUUUUCUUCAAAGGAAUAGUCAUGGUAACUUGUGAAAAUUAAUCUUGCUGAGAAAACUGAUAGAUUCCUGUAAAAUAUUGAAGUA
rnacentral:lncRNA from 1 species